rnacentral:rRNA from 1 species
GUGGGGAAUUUUGGACAAUGGGCGCAAGCCUGAUCCAGCAAUGCCGCGUGCAGGAAGAAGGCCUUCGGGUUGUAAACUGCUUUUGUACGGAACGAAAAGGCUCUGGUUAAUACCUGGGGCACAUGACGGUACCGUAAGAAUAAGCACCGGCUAACUACGUGCCAGCAGCCGCGGUAAUACGUAGGGUGCAAGCGUUAAUCGGAAUUACUGGGCGUAAAGCGUGCGCAGGCGGUGCUGUAAGACAGGCGUGAAAUCCCCGGGCUUAACCUGGGAAUGGCGCUUGUGACUGCAGUGCUGGAGUGUGGCAGAGGGGGAUGGAAUUCCGCGUGUAGCAGUGAAAUGCGUAGAUAUGCGGAGGAACACCGAUGGCGAAGGCAAUCCCCUGGGCCUGCACUGACGCUCAUGCACGAAAGCAUGGGGAGCAAACAGGAUUAGAUACCCGAGUAGUCC